rnacentral:rRNA from 1 species
UACGAACUGUGCAAACGUUAUUCGGAAUCACUGGGCUUAAAGGGUGCGUAGGCGGCUAUCUAAGCAGGGUUGUGAAAGCCCCCCGGCUCAACCGGGGGAAUUGCGUUUCUGAACUGGAUGGCUGGAGUGAGAUAGGGGUGUGUGGAACUUCCGGUGGAGCGGUGAAAUGUGUUGAUAUCGGAAGGAACGCCGGUGGCGAAAGCGACACACUGGGUCUCAACUGACGCUGAGGCACGAAAGCCAGGGGAGCGAACGGG